rnacentral:rRNA from 1 species
UACGGAGGGUGCAAGCGUUACUCGGAAUUACUGGGCGUAAAGCGCGCGUAGGUUGUUUGUUAAGCGAGAUGUGAAAUCCCCGGGCUCAACCUGGGAACUGCAUUUCGAACUGGCGAGCUAGAGUACAGUAGAGGGUGGCGGAAUUUCCUGUGUAGCGGUGAAAUGCGUAGAGAUGGGAAGGAACAUCAGUGGCGAAGGCGACCACCUGGACUGAUACUGACACUGAGGUGCGAAAGCGUGGGGAGCAAACAGG